GACGAACGCUGGCGGCGUGCUUAACACAUGCAAGUCGAACGGUGACCCUCGGAGCUUGCUUCGGGGUGAGCAGUGGCGAACGGGUGAGUAACACGUGAGUAACCUGCCCCUGACUCUGGAAUAAGCGCUGGAAACGGCGUCUAAUACCGGAUACGACACGCCUCCGCAUGGGGAGCGUGUGGAAAGUUUUUCGGUCUGGGAUGGACUCGCGGCCUAUCAGCUUGUUGGUGAGGUAAUGGCUCACCAAGGCGAUGACGGGUAGCCGGCCCGAGAGGGCGACCGGCCACACUGGGACUGAGACACGGCCCAGACUCCUACGGGAGGCAGCAGUGGGGAAUAUUGUACAAUGGGCGAAAGCCUGAUGCAGCGACGCCGCGUGAGGGAUGACGGCCUUCGGGUUGUAAACCUCUUUCAGCGGGGAAGAUGCGAAAGUGACGGUACCUGCAGAAGAAGCACCGGCUAACUACGUGCCAGCCGCCGCAGUAAAAC
rnacentral:rRNA from 1 species